GUCGGUCCGCACGCAGGCGGCCGAUUGCGUCACCGCGUACCUAGAGGAUCCAGUUCUGCCCAGAAGCCAGACCUAACUCUAAUUGGAGAUCUGCACUCCCAGGCAGUGGGAACCAGGAAAAGCACAUUUAUUCAUAGGGAGCUUCAAACGGGGAGCAACCCAAAUGCAACGGAUAAACUGUGGUAUGCCCUGGGAACACCACUCGGCAAGAAAAAGGGACGAACUACUGAUAAUCAUAACAUACAUGGAUCCCAGAUGCAUUACACUAAGUGAAAGCAGACGGACCUAAGGGCCACGCACUCUAUGAUUCUAUUUAUAUGAUAUUCUGGAAAAGACAAGACUAGGCAGAUGGCAAACAGGUCAGUCUUCGUCAGUGGUUAUUAAUCAGGGAAGGGUUUAAUUCCAAAGGGACUAUAGAAUUUGAUAUUUUGGGGGCAAAGGCUGAUGAAGUUAUUUAUCUUGAUUAUUGUAAUGCCUUCCUAUUGCUGCUGUAACAAAUUACUCACACAUUUGUGGCUAGCACCCCCCACCCUCACCUCAUCUCAGCCUCCCCUGUCAACCUAUUACUCUUGUGGUAUUGGUCAUACAACUCUCGCUGCACUUUUUUCAAAAGUCACAGAGCUUCACACCAACAGUGAAUUUGGCUGUAUGUAAAUGUUAAAACUGGGUCUAGAAAACGGGGAACCAGCAGAGGAGACUGAGAAGAAAUUACCAGGAAGGUGAGAAGGAGCCAAACGUUCGUGGUGCCCUGGAAGCCAGGUAAAGAAAGUGCAUUAGGGAGGGCAUGAACUCGGAUGUGAUUGCUGAGAUCCAGCAUGGGGAGGGGUGCGUACUGAGCAACAUGGAAGCCUCCAGUCAACUACUUGACAGCAGGAGUUUCUGGGGAGCAGUGGAAGCAAAAGCCAGAGAGGUGUGUGGGUUCAAGAGAGAACUGAAGAAAUAAAGACAGUUAACAAAGACCAGUGCCACUCAAGUAGCCAGUCCUUGAACCAUUACCGGAGAGUUACUGGUCCUGUAGGAGAUCAGGAGAACACACAGGGUUUAAACUAACAACCUGGACACCUGGGGGGCUCAGGGGUUGAGCAUCUGCCUUCCGCUCAGGGGGUGACCCCAGGGUCCUGGGGUGGAGCCUCAUGUCCCUCCAGCUCUCUGCUCAGUGCGGAGUCUGCUUCU